AGCAUAUCAAUAAGCGGAGGAAAAGAAACCAACAGGGAUUGCCUCAGUAACGGCGAGUGAAGCGGCAACAGCUCAAAUUUGAAAUCUGGCUCCUUCGGGGUCCGAGUUGUAUUUUGGAGAGGAUGUUCUGGGAGUGGUCGCGGUCUAAGUCCCCUGGAGCGGGGCGUCGCAGAGGGAGAGAAUCCCGUCUUCGGCCGGCCGGCUGCAACCGUGUAGAGCUCCUUCGACGAGUCGAGUUGUUUGGGAAUGCAGCUCUAAAUGGGUGGUAAAUUUCAUCUAAAGCUAAAUACUGGUCGGAGACCGAUAGCGCACAAGUAGAGUGAUCGAAAGAUGAAAAGCACUUUGAAAAGAGAGUUAAACAGCAUGUGAAAUUGUUGAAAGGGAAGCACAUGCGACCAGAGUCGGCCGUGGGGGUUCAGCAGGGGUCCUCCCCUGUGUAUUCCCCCGCGGUCGGGCCAGCAUCAGUUCUGGCGGCCGGUUAAAGGCUUCGGGAAUGUAUCCUCCUCCGGGAGAGCUUAUAGCCCGAGGUGCAAUGCGGCCAGCCGGGACUGAGGAACGCGCUUCGGCACGGAUGCUGGCUUAAUGGUCGUUUGUGGCCCGUCUUGAAACACGGACCAAGGAGUCUAACAUCCACGCGAGUGUUAGGGUGUCAAACCCUUCCGCGCAGUGAAAGCGAACGGAGGUGAGAGCCCCUUGAGGGUGCAUCAUCGACCGAUCCUGAAGUCUUCGGAUGGAUUUGAGUAUGAGCGUGGCUGUUGGGACCCGAAAGAUGGUGAACUAUGCCUGAAUAGGGUGAAGCCAGAGGAAACUCUGGUGGAGGCUCGCAGCGGUUCUGACGUGCAAAUCGAUCGUCGAAUUUGGGUAUAGGGGCGAAAGACUAAUCGAACCAUCUGUA
rnacentral:rRNA from 1 species